rnacentral:rRNA from 1 species
CCUACGGGAGGCAGCAGUGGGGAAUAUUGCACAAUGGGCGCAAGCCUGAUGCAGCAACGCCGCGUGACGGAUGACGGCCUUCGGGUUGUAAACCUCUUUUAGUAGGGAAGAAGCGAAAGUGACGGUACCUGCAGAAAAAGCACCGGCUAACUACGUGCCAGCAGCCGCGGUAAU